rnacentral:sRNA from 1 species
UUACACCCCCACCUGUGAAUCUCAGGCCCCCAGUGCCACCGCCAGGUCCAUUGCCACCCAGUCUCCCACCUGUUACAGGACCACCACCUCCACUUCCUCCAUUGCAGCCAUCUGGCAUGGAUGCUCCUCCAAACUCUGCAACCAGUUCUGUUCCUACUGUAGUAACAACUGGCAUUCAUCACCAGCCUCCUCCUGCUCCACCCUCUCUUUUUACUGCAGGUGCAGUUUUGGCCCUUUUUAUAUUCGUAGUGUAACACAGUUUUAGAUGAAGAAUUUUAAAAUGUCUAGAGAGAAUUGCUCUGUGAGGACUACUUUUCUCACUAAAAUUAUGUAGCCGUGGUGAAUGAACAUUAAGCCCUCAGUUAUGAAUGUUUUCAAAAAAACAUUUUCUUUUUAAUAACUUUUUAAAAUAAAGUUAUUUUCUUUUUGAUACAUAUAGAGCAUGUUAUAUGUUAAUAUGUUAUAUUGUUUACUUUUUCUCUUAUCAAUAUUAAAAAAUUACCAAGUGGA